rnacentral:lncRNA from 1 species
GGCAAAGGAAUGGGAAGGUCCACUCUAAGUUCACUACUUGGCUUUCUUCAUGUAAGGUGACUGGAUGAUGGAAUAGUAGAAGCAAGCUGUAGGAGAAGCAAAGCAGAAAAGGGGGAGAAAGGUGAUGAUUAGAACAGCAAAGGAGAAAAGCAAGACUAUCACUCCUGAUGACUCUAAAACAAGGAUAGGGAGGAAGAAGACAAGAGGACAGCAGACAUCUUUAGAUCAAGACUUUUCCUUACCAUUAAAGUGUGAUAAAUGCCUAUUGACUACACAUCUAAGUAAAAGUACAGUGG